rnacentral:lncRNA from 1 species
UUACCUUCUCUGUUUUGAACCUCCUCACAUAGUCUCGAAGCGACUCAUUUGGGUUUUUCUUGACGUCGAACAAAUGGUCGGACUUCUUUUUGAUCGAGCGAUACGAUGAAUAUUCUUUGGUGAAAACCAAAGAAAGUUCGUCAACAUUCCGGAUAGAUUAUGGCGGCAGGGUGUAGAACCAAUCUUGCGCCUCGCCUUGUAGAGUGGUGGCGAAUAUCUUGCACAUGAGACCGUCGUUGUUUCGAUAGAGAAUCAUUGUGCUUCGGUAGUGCUUUAAGUGUCUCUCCGGGUCUUCAUCCCCUUUGAAAGAUGUGAAAUGUGGCAUGCUAAACUCUCGUGGAGGCUCUACCUGCUCGAUCUUGUCCGUGAAGGGUGACCUGCUU